rfam:Ictidomys tridecemlineatus contig075392, whole genome shotgun sequence.
UGUGGUGUAGCUCAGUGUUCGAGCACUUGCCUUGCAUGCAAGAGGCUCAAGUUCAAACCACAGCAUAG